CAUUUGUUCUGACAAAAUUAUUUUCAUUAUUUUAAGCAUUUAAAAGUUCAAUCCUUCAGAAAUUUAUUUAAAUUUGCCUGCAAUUUUAACAUUGUGUUUGCCCAUUUUUAAGUUUCUUUGAACUUAAACUAACAUAUCAACUAACAUACUAACAUUAACUAGCAUUAACUAACAUACAUAUGAACAUUUAGAUAGUCGAAGUUGCCAAUAUAGCUGUCAAUAUCAUUCCAAACCCAAAGCCACACAAUGCAGGUUCUAAUAUACCUUUGGGAUCUCUUGAUGAAAAUACUUUGCAUUUCACAGAAACAAUUUUGAUUACUCAGCUUAUUUAAUUGAUUAAUUAUCUGUUUAAUUGAUUACCGAUAGCUUGUUUAUUUGCAUAUGAUAUAGUUUCUUAAUUAAACAUAGUUUUUUGCUCCUCCGAGGAUUGUCAACAAAAUUGUUGUAGAUAAGAGAACACAAAUUAUCAAAAUCCUUAUAUAGUAUUUUAAGAAUUGACUGUUCUCUGAGAAAGACUUGUCAUUGUAUAUAACCUCUCCAUUAUGUUAUGUUCAUCAGGUGGUUAGCAUCUCCACAUUAAAACUCAAUCUGUGUUGGGAAGUGCCUAUCUUGGUCUUCAAGUAUUUCAAAGGUAAAAUAAGACCAGUGAAUGAAAGUAAACAAUUUCAGAGGAUAAUUUCACUUCAAGCAUUAUGAUGUUGAAAUUUGUGAGACAUCUUACAGAAUUUAUCCGUCACAAAGCACGUGCCUAGAAUUAACUUCUCAAACAGUGGGUUAUUUGAAGACGGUUAGAAAAUUGUUCCGGAUGGUAAUGAGGUGGGUAUGGUAAGUUUGUGAGGAAGUGAAGAGAAUGUGGUAAAAGGAUCAGUGAAGAAUAAAACUGUGCUCUUUAUUGUUGCA
rnacentral:lncRNA from 1 species